UCUGUUGCACUUUCUGUUGAAUCUAGAGCUGCACAAGACAGGGAGUUAUCACUAAACAAAUGACUGCAAUAGAAGAAAUGGUUGCAAGUGAGUAAAAUUAGCCAGACCCUCAUCUUUGUGACAAGAUCUUGAAGUUAGUCAUUUGUGAAGCGUUCUAGUUUGCUAUUAGUUGCAGUUUUAGUUAUUGCUCUCUCAAUAUAUUCUUUUUCUUUCUUUUUUUUUCAAAGGAUGAUCAGUGUAAUAAUUAAGCUUCAUAAUUUCUGUGUUUGGAUCCAAGUUGUAUAUAAAUGUACACGUUAUUAA